AGGGUCUUGGCGGUCUAGUGGG
rnacentral:miRNA from 1 species